rnacentral:rRNA from 1 species
UACGGAGGGUGCAAGCGUUAAUCGGAAUUACUGGGCGUAAAGGGCGCGUAGGUGGUUACUUAAGUCGGAUGUGAAAGCCCCGGGCUGAACCUGGGAAUUGCAUUUGAUACUGGGAGACUAGAAUGUAGUAGAGGAUCGCGGAAUUUCUGGUGUAGCGGUGAAAUGCGUAGAGAUCAGAAGGAACAGCAGUGGCGAAGGCAGCUACCUGGGCCAACAUUGACGCUGAGGCGCGAAAGCGUGGGUAGCAAACAGG